UCUGCCCAUGUCAUAACCUACUAAAAGCCACCGUUCCUUAUCAUCUGCAGGAGAGUGCUGUGUGAGAUGGCACCAGAAGCCUCCCUAAGCGAAGAUAUAUGAUAUUCAUUGCCUCUCCACAAGGCUUAUUGCCCUGUCAUAGGAGGAAAUAAGCUUUCACCAGGACAUAAGUUUGCUGCAGAAGUGGAAGGUGCUGCUCAGACAUGGUGAAGAUUCUGGGUUUCACAAGGUGAAAAAGGUAACUAGGACUGACAGAACUGGGAAAAUCCCUGAAAUUAAGCAGCAGUAGGAAAAUCACACACGUAUUCAUCACCAGAGACUCUAUUUUGACAGCUGACCUCUUCAUUCUUACAUCAAAGGUGUUCAUUAAAGAUCAACACCCUCCAUAUCCAGGGUGACCGACCACCCAAUGGAUCCCAAGGGGCUACCCACAGGCCCACCUGCUUUCCCAGGCCACCCCCAGCCCCAGCUCUUGGCCACUUUAACCUACAAAAUCUGCUGGAAGUGCCUAUGACUCUCACAGCUGUUGGAAAGAUUCUGCAGGCAGACUGGAAUCAGGAGAGCCAGCCACUCCUUCUAUGGACGCUGUUGUUUGGAGUGCACCCAAAUCCUUGGGUUUGCUCUAGAUCACUUCCAGUACUAUUUUCUGUAGGGCUAGGGAAUCCCUUGGGUAGAGGUGAGCCGCAUUCAGAAAUAGAAUAGAAUACUAAAAUGUAUCAGAGUGCUACAUGAUGAUGCCCUAAUACCUUACCAAUGUUAAAAGAUGUUGCAUUCUGUAAGAACCCUUUGAUGUUUGAUCCGAGAGCAAAAAACCUCUUCUCACAGAAGCAAACUCACACAUUGGCUACAGCAAAUUAUUUGUCAGAUGUGGCAUUUCUCUCCAGGAGUCCUGGCUAAAACGAUUUGGCUGUACAGAGGCCCUUUGGGAGGCAUACUGCUGCUGAGGUAUGUUCAAGAUACUGGCAACCCAACUGCCUUUACAAACGUACACAAGCACAGAAAUUGGCAGCAGGGAAGGAACUUUGCCCUGUCUGAACCCAAAAUCCCAAUGGCAACACCACUGAAACUGGUUUAUUUUCUCAUAUUUUCCAAAGCAGCAGAACUGGUGCUGGCCACAUAGAGGAGAAAGACCUUAGGAAAGUCAGCCUUACAAACCCUACAUGAACGUCUCAGCCUGGAGAACCAUCUCUGCUUGAAAUCUCUUCUACAGGAGUGGCAGGUUGGCAAUUAGGCUACUGGAUGCAUAGCAUGAAAUCUAGCCCAAAUGUGUUUUUUUUAUAGUUACACAGUUACACAUUUGUAUGCACAUAUGCAUACAUGUAGAUAGACACAUACACACAAAACUAAAGAGAGAAAUCCAGCGCUACAUGGUGACCAACAAGUUCAAUUGAGAAGUCAUAGUCCCCGCAUGAAA
ensembl:lncRNA